UGGGGAAUAUUGGGCAAUGGGCGCAAGCCUGACCCAGCAACGCCGCGUGAAGGAAGAAGGCUUUCGGGUUGUAAACUUCUUUUAAGAGGGAAGAGCAGAAGACGGUACCUCUUGAAUAAGCCACGGCUAACUACGUGCCAGCAGCCGCGGUAAUACGUAGGUGGCAAGCGUUAUCCGGAUUUACUGGGUGUAAAGGGCGUGUAGGCGGGGGCCGCAAGUCAGACGUGAAAUUCCAGGGCUCAACCCUGGAACUGCGUUUGAAACUGUGGCUCUUGAGUGAUGGAGAGGCAGGCGGAAUUCCGUGUGUAGCGGUGAAAUGCGUAGAUAUACGGAGGAACACCAGUGGCGAAGGCGGCCUGCUGGACAUUAACUGACGCUGAGGCGCGAAAGCGUGGGGAGCAAACAGGAUUAGAUACC
rnacentral:rRNA from 1 species